rnacentral:rRNA from 1 species
UGUGUAGGCGGUUUCGUAAGUUCGGUGUGAAAUCUCCCGGCUCAACUGGGAGGGUGCGCCGAAAACUGCGGAGCUUGAGCGCGGGAGAGGGAAGCGGAAUUCCUGGUGUAGCGGUGAAAUGCGUAGAUAUCAGGAGGAACACCGGUGGUGCAGACGGCUUCCUAGACCGUUGCUGACGCUGAGACACGAAAGCGUGGGGAGCAAACAG